rnacentral:lncRNA from 1 species
GUUGAACAGUUCUUGGUUGCGCACAGUUGCUGAGGGAGACAUCGGCUCCAGUGAGCUUCUCUUGCUGCAGCAGUUUCCAGCUGGCACCUCUGCCCCCUUCGCACAAUCCUGCACCUUUGGAACAGCGGCAUCAUCCAGAGCCCAGCUCAGUUGAACCGCCCAGGUAGGCCCCACCCCCACCCUGGCGCCAACUGGUCCGCACACCAACAGAUGCCUGGAAGGAUGGGUGGGUGGGUCGCGGGGCUUUGGCACUGGCACACGGAGCUGGGCUAAAGAGAUGGGGUGUCAAGAGAGAACGAGCUCAAUGUGUGAGAAAACACUCCUGAGGACGGAUGCAGUUCGUGUGCCUGGGUUCUGAUGAGUGCUUCAGGAUUUGGGGAGUCAGCAUUAGACUACAAAUGGGAAAAGUGUGGUUGACUGGAAUUCUGAAAGCCUGGGGUCCCUCCCAGAUCCUGCCUCAUUCUUCUACAUAUCCUUGAGCAAAAAGCUUUAUUAAGCUUUCUGCACCUCAGUUUCCCCAUUUUCAAGAACUGGUUUCAGACUCCCGCCACUAGGACUGGUAAUGCAGCUGGGGGCUGGGAAGAGACAAUGGCGGAGAGCGUGGCGCACCUGUGCUGAGGGCUGUGGACUUGAGGCACCCUGAUAGUCCAUGGAGGUGGAGGCUGUCUCGAUAGUGGGGGGUGUGAUCUGUGGGGUUGAACCUGGUCGCUCAGUCCUAGGAUGCGCAUCCCCAUGACACCUGCUUGUGGAUCCAGCUGUGGCUGAGAACAGAACUGUGGCCUGAGGGAGCGCAGGAGCCACUCGUUCUUUCCCAUUGCUGGCGUCCAAUACAGAUUCCUGUGCUUUAGCUGUGGCAGCAGGACCCCCAACUUGCUAGAUAUGGCUUCCUGUAAAGCCGGGUUCUUCCCUGGCUGCCCCCUUUCAAAGACAAGUCUGCUCCUGGUCACUGCGGGAAACGGAGGGGGAAGGGAAGAGAGAGCAGUAAGGAGGGGCAGGAAAAAGAGAGAGAGAGAGAGAGAGAGAGAGAGUGUGUGUGUGUGUGUGUGUGUGUGUGUGUGUUUCUUGCUUUGCGCGAUUGGGCAUCUGUUUGUGUGUUGGGGAAGGAGGUGGAUACCGCAGGGAAUUCCCAGUCAUCUAGCCCUGUCAAGGAUUCAGUCAGAAACCCCUGAGCUAUCACUCUCAAUUCAAGAGGCACCCCACCCACCUCAGAGCUGUCCUUGGGGAAGAAUUGAUAUAGCUGAGAGACCACACCUCGGCUGGAAAAGGGGUAGAUAAGUGGGAGGCUAAUCGUUCUGGAGCCCAAUAAUGAUUAUCCAGCUAGCCCCAUCUUGAGAGUGCUUUGAAUACACAGGUUUCAUCCAAUAUUGAGGGAGGGGUGGAAGAGAGAAGGAGGUAAAGGCGGGGGGGUGGAAUGGAGGAGCACACAUACUGACUUCAGGCAGAGGGUGGCCCCUAUGCAUUCUAAUGUUAUCUCCGACAGCAAUGGCAGUUGUACUGACUGCCUGAAUGACUAAGAAAACUUAAGAGGAAAGCUCCCAAGGCUGGACAUUCUGCACUAGAUCCUAGGCCCUCUGGGGAAGGGUAGAGCCAGGGAACAGUUUAAGCCCCUAAAUCUUCCCUUGGUUUGCAUCUGAAACUGCAGUCCUCUGUCUUUGCUGGAUUGGAACAAGAUAAUGCUCCUGCCUGGAAAGCAAAUAGAGACACAAUCUGACUUUUAAAUCCAGUUUCCAUCCCUUACACACAAAAUGCCCAGUAGUUGCUUGUCUACCUCUGCUAACAAUGCACUUUUAACCACUCUAUCCCUCAAAGGCUAAUUGUUUUCCUCUCAGAGUACCCAUCCCCUCCAAUUCCCAUCAAUAAAUCACUAUUUAGAAUGUCAACCCUUUGCAGAAGAUGAAAUGGGAUUUUAAAAAGAACCAGCCUUCAUUGUGAUAGUGGUGAGGAACAAGUAUAAUAACCCUUACAUGUGCAGUGAUGAACCCACUUCCCCUCUCUGGGUCUUAGUUUUUAUUCCUGCAUAAAGCAUGUAUUUAGGUUAGUGGGGAAUUGUGUGGUUCAUUGUUCAUAGGAGACACACAUGCACUCAUGAACUGACAGCUCAUGAUAUAGCCAAAGAUAAUUAAUUGCUAAAUUGUUUUGUAGAACUUAAAGUGUCAGCUAUCACUUCUCACUCUCUACAUCAUUUAAUAUAUUGCCUUUUCACUUGAUUUCCCUUCAUCCACAUAGAUUAAAAUGGAGAUCAAUGCACAGCAGCCAUAAACCUUGAUUGAGAGGAAAAUAAUCUGCUAAUGUAAUUUCACUAGACUCAAAAAGGGAAAUAGGUAUACAGUUUGUUGUGGAGGAAUAAAGAAGAGACAAAAUAUUUUAAUUAUGUGGUUUUCAGAGAUGGGCCCCAAGCAUGUCCAAACCUGUAUCACAGCCCUGGCUGUCUACCUUUCCUUCCUAGUGAGUUUAAGUGGAGGGGAGUUCAGCAUCAGAACAGGAAAGUGGUGGUAUGCUGAUCUUUGUUCCUCCUUGGUAGAACAAUUUUGAAUAGCAGUGAGGUAACUUAAAUUUAACUCAGGAAUUGUUGCCCUAAAAAGACUGCCUAUGGACUUAGUGCCUUAGGGUUAGGCUGUUUUGAAAGUGGAGGUGUUUUUUGUUUUUGUUUUUGUUUUGUGUAUAAAUACUAUUUGAAAAUAUUUUUAGACAAAGGUUAAAUGGUAGAAGUUUCUCAUUCCCAUAUAUGUGAAAAUAAAAUUAAAUUACACAAAGCAAAACCCAGCUACUCUUACAAUUGUAUACAAGAGAGAACAAGUUCAGGUCAUGGAAUCUGCUUUUAUUUCUGUGUUCCUUUUAUCAAUAUCCACUGCAGUAAAAUCUAUAAAUGGUAUGGGAGAGAUUUUUCCAUGGGGAAAGGGAAAGAUCAGAGGGAAUAGAGAAAUUUGUCAAGAGAAAUUGAACAUCAGAGCAGAUUCUCAAAGGCAGCAGUAAGUGACUGAUUUAGAUUGGUUUUACCAAGUUCCUAGAAAAUGAUUUUCGAACAAAGAAGACAUGUUCAGCCAGGCACAGUGAUAUACGCCUGUAAUACCAAUAGCUCAUGAGGUUAAGGUGGGAGGAUCAUUAGUUAAAGCCAGCCUCAUCAACUUAUCAUGCAUGAGGCACUGGGUUCGAUCCUCAGCACCACAUAAAAAUAAAGACAAUAAAGUCCAUCAACAACUAAAAAAAUAUUUUAAAAGUAAAAUUUUGGGGGGCUGGGGCUGUAGCAACUUAGUGAGACCUAAGCAACUUAGUGAGACCCUGUCUCAAAAUAAAAUAAAAUAAAAAAGGGCUGGGGAUGUUGCUCAAUAGUUAAGUUACCCUCAGUUCGAUCCCUGAUGCAAAGGGGGCGGGGGAUUACAUUGAACACUCUCCCAAUGACACAUGAAGUUUGAAACUGCAGCUGCCCAUCUGUAUCUAUAGUCAUACCCCUCUCAUAUAUAUACACAUGCAAACACACACACACACAUACACACACACACACAGACACACACACACAUUUUAGUUGGAAUAAUUUUUAUUGAUUUGACUUGAACUCAAAAAAUAAGUGCCUGGAAUUGACAGAAAUUGUUCCAUCUGAGACCCAUCUUCCUGAAUUUCCCUUAAAGCUUUAAUUAGGCUAAACACAGGAGAUGGGACAAGAUAUUGUGUGAACUUAAGGAAAUAUCUAAUUGGCUUAAACUUUAUUUUAAAUUUCUCCUGUAGUUUAAAAAGUGUACUUUAAAAAAGAUUUGUAGUUAUAUAUGAACAGAAUGCCUUUAUUUUAUUUGUUUACGUUUAUGUGAUGCUGAGGAUCUAACCCAGUGCCUCACGCAUGUUAGGCAAGUGCUCUGCCACUGAGCUACAGCCUCAGCCCAAAAAAUUUUACUUUUUUUAAAUUUUUUUUUUAGUUUUUGAUGGACUUUAUUAUCUUUAUUUUUAUGUGGUGCUGAGGAUCGAACCCAGUGCCUCAUGCAUAGGUUGAGCACCCUACCACUGAGCCACAACCCCAGCCCUCCUCCCAAAAUUUUACUUUUAAUGUAUGACUUGUAUUACUAAUUGUGAAAGUUCCUUCUGAGGGUAAAUAUUUUUUUAUUCAUGUGAUUUGACAGUGGCAAGGACAAGAGUAGCAACUCCAGGUUUAUUUUUCUUUUAUUUUUCUUCCUUUUUUUUUCUCUUUUUUAGUAACAGGGAUUCAAUCCAGCUGUGUUUUUAUCACUGAGCUACUUUCCCAGCACUUAAAAAAAUAGUCAGUUGGUUAGAUUGACUUUAACUUUGAAUCCUCCUGACUCAGCCUCCAAAGUUGUUGGGAUUACAUAUUUGCAUCAUCAUAGCAGCUACUUUUCUUUUGUGUACUACUCAAUUACAUUAAUAAGAGUCUACCCUGGAAUAUAAAGUAGAAGGAAAACUGAGUGGGGGUCAUUUUAAAAGUUCUUUAAAAAGGACACAUCUUGCCUUGGUUGUCUAGGACAUCUCAACAUCCUCCCUGACCCACACUAAAUCUUUAAUCCAUGACCAACUACAACUGGGAGCUUGGUAUUUCAUUUUCUGCUGUAGUCAGAUAAUUACUUUCAAAAUGACAAUAUUCUUAGUUGGAACUUCAGCCUUUUAAAUAAAAAUAAGGGGGCUUUAUAAAACGGUGUAAAGCCUCUUUCAAAUCCAACAGCCUGGUAUUCAAUGAGUUGAUGAAAAUCUAUCUCCAAACUUCAUAGGUCCUUUUAAUGAGGCCAGAUAAAAUCUGGAAGAGGGGUGAUGUUAUUUAAAUUAUCAUUUGGCUUUGUGGGGGGCUAUGGAGAGUGUCUGCAACAUAUUUCUGCCUUCCAGUAUCUGCCAAGUCCAAAGGAAGAAAUAUGCAAGACAUCAUUUUGCCUACCUUAUUCUACCUGAAUACAUGGCUUGUUUUAAAACCAGGAGAUACAAGGUAAAAGCUGUUUAUAAUGUAGUUAAGUGAAAACUGCAGUCUCAAAAGAUAAAACUGGCUUGUUUCUGUGUGUAAUUUUGUGUCCUUUCAUCCAAGACAUUUACAAAAUGGAGUGGCAUUGGAUUCUUUGGGUGUAAAUGGAAUAUAACCCCUACAAACACUUUAAGGGACUAUCAAAAGAUACAUUUUGCUGGGUGUGGUGAUGCAUGCCUGAAGCCCCAGCUACUUAGAAAGCUGAGGCAGAAGGAUUCCAAGUUCAAGACCAUCCUGGGCAAUUAAGCCCAAGCUCGAAACAAAUAAUAAUAAUAAUUUUUUAAAAGGGCUGGCAAUGUAGCUCAGUGGUAUAAUGCCCCUGGGAUCAUUCCCCAGCACUGCAAGAAAGAAAAAAAAAACUGCAUUUUUCAUAUGGCAUUCACUGAAAAAAAUAAAUUGCUCAUAUAAAGGAAAGUAAGGGAGGGCCAGAUAUCAUAAAUAUAUAGGAAAUAUCAGUAGUAUGGAAAAGGAGAUGUAGAAAGAAAGAGGAAGAUUGGGAAAGGGGAGGAAAUGUGGAAUGAACUUUUAAAAAUCAUGUUAUGUGCAUAUAUAAAUAUAGUAUAGGUAAUUCCACAUUUAUGUGUAAUUAGAAAGAACCAAUCAAAAAUAAAUAGAUGAGUGAAAGGAAGAUUAGUAGAGUAGAAGAAGAGAAUGAAGGGAGAGAAGAAGAGAGGUAAAAGGUAGUGAACAAAAAAAGAAUUGUUGAAAGUGGACAGUAUUCUGAGCUUAAUCUUGGAGCCAUUGAGGGAGCAUCUUCACAGCAUUUCUGCACUCAGGUGUGUUUUGUGCAGCAGUAAUUUAUAUAUAAUAUUUACUACCUAUAGCAGAGACUUUGACCCUUAACUAUAUUUUAUUUUCAUUUGUAUUAUUGUAUGUCACUGUUUAAUGAUUUUCUCAUGUGUAUAUCCUUAAAUCUGUUAUGUUGUCUUUUUAUUUUAAUCAAAGUCUACCAUAUUUAUUGCUCUGAAUUUUCUUUAAAAUUCAGCAUUUAAACUCUACUGGAAGUUAACAUAUUGUGAAACAUAUGUGCUUCUUAUUAGAGUGAAGACAUUAUUUACUUUUUAAAAUAAUAAUAGUAUGCCAGUUUAUAGUAAACAGAAGUACAUUAGAGUUAGAAAGUGCUUAACAACACAUAAUUAAUAAAUUUAGUUUCUCAUUGCAGGGGAGGGCUAGUCUGCAGACUUCUAGUAAAAUUGCAAUUAUGAUUUAUAGAGCCACAGAGCAGUUUGGGGGUUGGUACUUAAUGAAAAUAAUAGUAUAUUGGUAAGUUUUUUGAAAUGUGAGACAGUAUUUUCUUAGAAUAAGUUAUUUAACAUUUAUUUUUUAUUUUAGGUUGACUGUAGAAUCAGUGUUCAUGCACUGAACCCAGCCAAUAAAGGGUACUACUUUAGAAUGGAUGUUGAAAAUAUCACUGUGAUAUUGUAUGCCACAGGUUGCAAGGAUUAAUGUUUCCAAAAUGACUGUUCAACUUGGCUUCAUAUUUUAAUUAGAGUUAAAAUACUUACCAAAUUCAUGCCAUUUUGGCUCAACUUGUUUUUCUAGGUUCCUAAUUUUCUACUAUUUUAGAAAACACUUAAUUUCUGAUUAAAAGCACAUUAAGGAAUGAUAUUCUUGCUGCCAGAAUAUAAUGUUAAUGAGAACUAACAUCAAAGAAGCAGGAGACAGGGUUCUGCUAAUACCUUUCUUGUAAAGUCACUAAUAUGCCAUGCUACAUUCAAUGAGUUAUUUGCAUCUUGUAUAUGUUGCAGGCACUCUUGCCAUUUUAAAACUUUAGUUUAUCUGCUGUAGACAAAUAUUAAUAGAAAAUUGACUCCACUUUUUUUAAACCAGCUCCUGAAGUAGCAUACUGGAGAUUGCAUUCAUUUUUCAUAUGAGAGAAUCCAAGUCAAGUCUUCUUUAGUCAUCUUCAAGUUGGGGACUGUGAGAGAACAAGUUUCAUUGUUGCCUUUUCUUCCAAUGAGAUCAUCCUUCAACUUAGGAUUCAUGCCUGCCUUCUGGACUUCUGAGGACUAUGAGAAUAUUAAUAAGAUGAAUGCAACCAUCCAGGCUGAAGCCACCCAUCUGGAUGCUCCCCUCUCCUCCAUGGUGGCCCUGAUAAUAGUGUUGAUAAUUAUUUUCUCAUUGGUAAUGACCUCCUUUGUGACAUACUGUUUUCACAAGUGGAAGCUGAGGGGCCGCAAACUGCAGAGAGCCCUGGAAGAGUAUCAAAGAGAUCAAGAGAAAAAUAUAUUUCAUAGCCCUCCUGAUCUUAUUUCUUAAAAUAUUGUAAACUGACAAUCGGAGGGCACCAUCUGAAACAAAGCAACAUGACAAGAAAGAACAAGAAAUGGAACAACAUGAAAUAAGAAGAAAUUAGAUGUGAAAACAAGAUGAAGUAAAACCAUAGGCAACAAAAUGACAUGCUGCAAAAUGACAGGAAGUGAAAGGGGAGGAGGAGAAUGAUAAUUGUACAACAACUCUAAAACAAGAGUUCAUGUCAUAGUUCUGUUAAUCCAACUGUUCAUUGUUUGACAGUUGCCUAUAGUUUCAUUAUAUAAGCAACUUGGUGAUAGUUUUUUUUUCCCUUUCUUUGUGUAUUUGUUUUGUUUGGUGUACAGUGAAAGCAAAACCAUCAUGUAUUUUACAUCUUCAUUUUAUUUACCAACAACCUUUGGAUUGCUGAUGGAUGUGACUAAAUAAAAGUUCUAUACUGAUCAUUUACCUAUGAAAGAUGGCCAGAUGAAUAUAAAGAUAAGAACCUUGAUAUCAGGCAUAUAAUAUGGUAGUUUUAUUUUCCGGCUAGUAAUGUUUGCAUUGAAGAUAAGAAAAAGAUUGCAUAAUCAUAGCACAUGUAACAGUGUAAGUACUGACUGUAACAAAAUAUCUAGAUGUGUUGAAAUGUAGGCAAUAUGUGUUUUAUAAAAAGGAGAAGAAAAUAAGUCCCAACUACCUAAUAACCCCAUCUCCUGAAGUUUUGCUUAAGUUAUAGAUUGCUUGAAAUUAAUAUUAAUUAAUAUAUAUGUUUGAAGCAAAAUUCUUUUCUGGUAAUAAUGCUGUAUGUAUACAUGUUUCGGUAAAAAAAACUUGUCAUAAUAUGAAUGAGAUGGUUUUUAACAGUAUGUGCUAUGUAAGUAUUGCUAACAAUUAAAAUGUGAAAUUUUCUUGGAUGUUAUAAAUGAAAUCUAUUAGAUGAGAUCGUGUAUAAUGGAAUGCAUUGUGGAGCUUACCAAUCUUUGGAUAUAAAAGCAAGCAGUCCUACUUUGUGACUCAACAAAUAUAUGUAUUAAAAAGAAAUUGUCU